rnacentral:tRNA from 1 species
ACUAAUAUAGCUUAAAAUAAAGUAUGAUAUUGAAGAUAUCAGGAUAGAAUUGCUUCUUUUUAGUA